AAGUCGUAACAAGGUAACCGUAGGUGAACCUGCGGUUGGAUCAUUACAAAAUUGGUUUACACCAAACAUUGUGUGCACUAUAUCUGUCUCUGGUGGUUCUCGUGCUUGCUUGCAAGCCUGCCUUCGGGCUGGAUCACCAAACAUGAGCAUUUGGAGCGUUUCGACGUUUCACUUGUUUAUGAAAAACUUUUUACUAAUUUUAUGUCUGAAUCAUUCACCAAGUGAAUUGAAAAACAACUUUUGACAACGGAUCUCUUGGCUCUC
rnacentral:misc_RNA from 1 species